ACUCAAAGGAAUUGACGGGGGCCCGCACAAGCGGUGGAGCAUGUGGUUUAAUUCGACGCAACGCGAAGAACCUUACCAAGGCUUGACAUGGGUGUGAAAGGUAUAGAGAUAUAUCGCCCUCUUCGGAGGCACACUACACAGGUGGUGCAUGGUUGUCGUCAGCUCGUGUCGUGAGAUGUUGGGUUAAGUCCCGCAACGAGCGCAACCCCUAUGUUUAGUAGCCAGCGAGUAGAGUCGGGCACACUAGAGAGACUGCCGUGGAGAACACGGAGGAAGGUGGGGACGACGUCAAAUCAUCAUGCCCCUUAUGUCUUGGGCUACACACGUGCUACAAUGGGUGCUACAGAGCGAAGCAAGAGCGUGAGCCGGAGCGAAUCGCGAAAAGCAUCCUCAGUUCGGAUUGCAGUCUGCAACUCGAGUGCAUGAAGUUGGAAUCGCUAGUAAUCGCGAAUCAGCAUGUCGCGGUGAAUACGUUCCCGGGCCUUGUACACACCGCCCGU
rnacentral:rRNA from 1 species